rnacentral:tRNA from 1 species
UAUAUAAAAGUGGGUUUUUCCUCCCAUUUCUAAAAUUUUAGCAUAACUGCUGUGUUUUGGUUGUUUUUU